UUGCAAACUUCCUCACUAGCUCUGCAUGAUGUGGCAAAAGCUAAGAGAACCAGGUUGCUCAAUUAAAUUAAUUGUAAUGACAGGAACAUAUUAGCCUCGGAAGCUAUUAAUUGAGGUGCUCCAUUCUAUUCCCAUAGAGUG
rnacentral:snoRNA from 1 species